rnacentral:rRNA from 1 species
GACGAACGCUGGCGGCGUGCUUAACACAUGCAAGUCGAACGGAAAGGCCCUGCUUUUGUGGGGUGCUCGAGUGGCGAACGGGUGAGUAACACGUGAGUAACCUGCCCUUGACUUUGGGAUAACUUCAGGAAACUGGGGCUAAUACCGGAUAGGAGCUCCUGCUGCAUGGUGGGGGUUGGAAAGUUUCGGCGGUUGGGGAUGGACUCGCGGCUUAUCAGCUUGUUGGUGGGGUAGUGGCUUACCAAGGCUUUGACGGGUCGCCGGCCUGGGAGGGUGACCGGCCACAUUGGGACUGAGAUACGGCCCAGACUCCUACGGUAGGCAGCGGUGGGGAAUAUUGCACAAUGGGCGGAAGCCUGAUGCAGCAACGCCGCGGGCGGGAUGACGGCCUGCGGGUAGUAAACCGCUUUCGCCUGUGACGAAGCGUGAGUGACGGUAAUGGGUAAAGAAGCACCGGCUAACUACGUG